AUUGAACGCUGGCGGUAUGCUUAACACAUGCAAGUCGAACGGUAACAGGCCUUCGGGCGCUGACGAGUGGCGGACGGUGAGUAACGCGUAGGAAUCUGUCUCAUAGUGGGGGACAACGUGGGGAAACUCACGCUAAUACCGCAUACGCCCUACGGGGAAAGCGGGGGAGUCUUCGGACCUCGCGCUAUGAGAUGAGCCUGCGUUAGAUUAGCUAGUUGGUAGGGUAAAGGCCUACCAAGGCGACGAUCUAUAGCUGGUCUGAGAGGACGAUCAGCCACACUGGGACUGAGACACGGCCCAGACUCCUACGGGAGGCAGCAGUGGGGAAUAUUGGACAAUGGGCGCAAGCCUGAUCCAGCAAUACCGCGUGUGUGAAGAAGGCCCUAGGGUUGUAAAGCACUUUCAAUUGGGAGGAAAACCUGCCGGUCAAUACCCGGCAGCUUGACAUUACCUUUAGAAGAAGCACCGGCUAACUCCGUGCCAGCAGCCGCGGUAAU
rnacentral:rRNA from 1 species